rnacentral:rRNA from 1 species
UACGAAGGGGGCUAGCGUUGUUCGGAAUUACUGGGCGUAAAGCGAACGUAGGCGGUGUUCCAUGUCAGAGGUGAAAGCCUGGGGCUCAACUCCAGAAUUGCCUUUGAAACGGGAACGCUUGAGUCCGAGAGAGGGUGGCGGAAUUCCUAGUGUAGAGGUGAAAUUCGUAGAUAUUAGGAAGAACACCAGUGGCGAAGGCGGCCACCUGGCUCGGUACUGACGCUCAGGUUCGAAAGCGUGGGGAGCAAAC